UACGAAGGGGGCUAGCGUUGCUCGGAAUCACUGGGCGUAAAGCGCACGUAGGCGGAUUGUUAAGUCAGGGGUGAAAUCCUGGAGCUCAACUCCAGAACUGCCUUUGAUACUGGCGAUCUCGAGUUCGGGAGAGGUGAGUGGAACUGCGAGUGUAGAGGUGAAAUUCGUAGAUAUUCGCAAAGAACACCAGUGGCGAAGGCGGCUCACUGGCCCGAUACUGACGCUGAGGUGCGAAAGCGUGGGAGCAACAGG
rnacentral:rRNA from 1 species